AUUGAACGCUGGCGGCAGGCCUAACACACGCAAGUCGAACGAGAGGCGGACGGGUGAGUCAUGUCUGGGAAACUGCCUGGGGGAGAGGGAUAACUACCGGGAACGGUAGCUAAUACCGCAUACCAUCAGCUGUGCCCGGAUGGGAGUAGCUAGUUGGUGGGGUAACGGCUCACCAAGGCGACUAACUCGCGCUGGUCUGAGAGGAUGACCAGCCACACUGGAACGGAGACACGGUCCAGACUCCUACGGGAGGCAGCAGUGGGGAAUAUUGCACAAUGGGCGCAAGCCUGAUGCAGCCAUGCCGCGUGUAUGAAGAAGGCCUUCGGGUUGUAAAGCACUUUCAGCGGGGAGGCGUUACCCGCAGAAGAAGCACCGGCUAACUCCGUGCCAGCAGCCGCGGUAAUUC
rnacentral:rRNA from 1 species